CUGGAACACAAGUCCGAUGGGGAGCAGCUGAAGGAACUGGGGUUGUUCAGUCUGGAGAAGAGGCUCGGGGGAGACUUCAUUGCUCUCUACAGCCACCUGGAUGAAAGGAGGUUGUGGCAAGAUGGAGAUGUCUGGAAGCAGUUCCUGCGUGGAUCUUGUGAGAAAGAUGGCGGACCCGGAGUAUGGAAGCCAGGUUUUCUUCUUGCAGAGCCUCUUCUCCCUUCCUCUUUUCCACUAUCAGGGCACACUGCUCCAGUGUUCCAGUGUGCAUAGAGCACAGGAAGGCAGAUGUUGCAGAGAAUCACAGAUUCAUAAAGGUUGGAAAAGAACACUGAGAUAAUCUAGUCCCACCAUCAGCCCACCCCCACCAUGCCCACUGCCCACGUCCCUCAGUGCCACAUCCACACGGCAAUUGAACACCUCCAGGGACAGUGACUCCACCACCUCACUGGGCAGCCUGUGCCACUGCCUCACCACUGCUGAGAAGAAAUUUCUACUCAUGUCCAAUCUGCACCUCUCCAGGUGCUACUUUGGGUCAUUACCUCUAUUCCUAAACACCUAGAGGUGUUUGUCACAGCCAUCUGCAAUGGUCUGGUGAUUGGAUAGUCUUUCUGGAUGGGCAGUUGGGUUCUUCGGGUGGUACAGAGCCG
rnacentral:lncRNA from 1 species